UGGGGAAUAUUGGGCAAUGGACGCAAGUCUGACCCAGCAACGCCGCGUGAAGGAAGAAGGCUUUCGGGUUGUAAACUUCUUUUAAGGGGGAAGAGCAGAAGACGGUACCCCUUGAAUAAGCCACGGCUAACUACGUGCCAGCAGCCGCGGUAAUACGUAGGUGGCAAGCGUUGUCCGGAUUUACUGGGUGUAAAGGGCGUGUAGCCGGGCCGACAAGUCAGAUGUGAAAUCCACGGGCUUAACCCGUGAACUGCAUUUGAAACUGUUGGUCUUGAGUAUCGGAGAGGUAACCGGAAUUCCUAGUGUAGCGGUGAAAUGCGUAGAUAUUAGGAAGAACACCAGUGGCGAAGGCGGGUUACUGGACGACAACUGACGGUGAGGCGCGAAAGCGUGGGGAGCAAACAGG
rnacentral:rRNA from 1 species